rnacentral:tRNA from 1 species
UUUAUAUAGUUUAACUCAAAACCUUACAUUUUCAAUGUAAAAUUAAAACACUUUUUUUUAUAA